UACGGAGGAUCCAAGCGUGAUCCGGAAUCAUUGGGUUUAAAGGGUCCGUAGGCGGGAGAAUAAGUCAGUGGUGAAAGUCUGCAGCUCAACUGUAGAACUGCCAUUGAAACUGUUGUCCUUGAGUCAUUAUGAAGUGGUUAGAAUAUGUAGUGUAGCGGUGAAAUGCGUAGAUAUUACAUAGAAUACCGAUUGCGAAGGCAGAUCACUAAGCAUUUACUGACGCUGAUGGACGAAAGCGUAGGUAGCGAACAGG
rnacentral:misc_RNA from 1 species